GGCCGCCUGGCGAAAUGGCAUCGCGUCUGACUACGAUCCAUCUAUGGUGUGGUAUCAGGAGAUUGCAGGUUCGACCCCUGCGGUGGUCA